rnacentral:rRNA from 1 species
AUUGAACGCUGGCGGCAUGCCUUACACAUGCAAGUCGAACGGCAGCACGGGAGCAAUCCUGGUGGCGAGUGGCGAACGGGUGAGUAAUAUAUCGGAACGUGCCCAGUAGUGGGGGAUAACUGCUCGAAAGAGCAGCUAAUACCGCAUACGACCUGAGGGUGAAAGGGGGGGAUCGCAAGACCUCUCGCUAUUGGAGCGGCCGAUAUCAGAUUAGCUAGUUGGUGGGGUAAAGGCUUACCAAGCCGACGAUCUGUAGCUGGUCUGAGAGGACGACCAGCCACACGGGGACUGAGACACGGCACAGACUCCUACGGGGGGCAGCAGUGGGGAAUUUUGGACAAUGGGCGAAAGCCUGAUCCAGCAAUGCCGCGUGCAGGAUGAAGGCCCUCGGGUUGUAAACUGCUUUUGUACGGAACGAAAAGCUUCGGGUUAAUACCCUGGAGUCAUGACGGUACCGUAAGAAUAAGCACCGGCUAACUACGUGCCAGCCGCCGCCGUAAAAC